rfam:Triticum aestivum genome assembly, contig: Triticum_aestivum_CS42_TGACv1_scaffold_405473_5BL
UUUAUACUCCCUCUGUCCCAAAAUUCUUGUCUUAGAUUUGCCUAUAUACGGAUAUAUCUAAUACUAAAAUGUGACUUGAUACAUCCGUAUUUAGACAAAUCUAAGACAAGAAUUUUGGGAUGGAGGGAGUAUUAC